GAUGAACGCUAGCGGCAGGCUUAAUACAUGCAAGUCGAGGGGCAGCAGCUUUAUAGCAAUAUAGAGGCUGGCGACCGGCAAACGGGUGCGGAACACGUACACAACCUUCCUUUAAGAAGGGGAUAGCCCAUAGAAAUGUGGAUUAAUACCCCGUAACAUAUCGGUGUGGCAUCACACUGUCAUUAUAGUUUCGACGCUUGAAGAUGGGUGUGCGGCUGAUUAGGUAGUUGGCGGGGUAAAGGCCCACCAAGCCUUCGAUCAGUAGCUGAUGUGAGAGCAUGAUCAGCCACACGGGCACUGAGACACGGGCCCGACUCCUACGGGAGGCAGCAGUAAGGAAUAUUGGUCAAUGGACGCAAGUCUGAACCAGCCAUGCCGCGUGAAGGAUGAAGGUCCUCUGGAUUGUAAACUUCUUUUAUAGGGGGCGAAAAAAGGGAAUUCUUUCUCACUUGACAGUACCCUAUGAAUAAGCACCGGCUAACUCCGUGCCAGCAGCCGCAGUAA
rnacentral:rRNA from 1 species